rnacentral:rRNA from 1 species
GACGAACGCUGGCGGCGUGCCUAAUACAUGCAAGUAGAACGCAGUUGCGAACGGGUGAGGAACGCGUAGGUAACUGCCGCAUCGCGGGGGAUAACUAGUGGAAACGAUAGCUAAUACCGCAUACUGGGAGAGGGACCUGCGUUGUAUUAGCUAGUUGGUGAGGUAAAGGCUCACCAAGGCGACGAUACUUAGCCGACCUGAGAGUGUGUUCGGCCCCACUGGUCCUGUGACCCGGCCCAGACUCCUGCGGGCGGCAGCAGUAGGGAAUCUUCGGCAAUGGACGGAAGUCUGACCGAGCAACGCCGCUGGAGUGAAGAUGGUUGUCGUAUCGUAAGGCUCUGUUGUUAGAGACGCGGUGACUAACCAGAAAGGGACGGCUAACUACGUGCCAGCAGCCGCGGUAAUGC